rnacentral:rRNA from 1 species
UACAGAGGUCUCAAGCGUUGUUCGGAGUUACUGGGCGUAAAGGGUGUGUAGGCGGUUCUUUAAGUUUGGCGUGAAAUCUCCCGGCUCAACCGGGAGGGUGCGUCGAAUACUGAGGGACUAGAGUACGGGAGAGGAAAGUGGAAUUCCUGGUGUAGCGGUGAAAUGCGUAGAUAUCAGGAGGAACACCGGUGGUGUAGACGGCUUUCUGGACCGUAACUGACGCUGAGACACGAAAGCGUGGGUAGCAAACAGG